rnacentral:lncRNA from 1 species
GUUAGAACCCCAGCUGCAAGUGAGACUGGAAAAAUGGCUCUCAGAGUUCCCGCCUCUGCAGUAGAGGAAGACACUCCAGAAGGAGUUGAGAAUGGGUGCUGAGUGCCUCUUCAGGAUGUCUGUCACACCUCAGGAAACCUGCCAGGAAUACCAAAGGGAGUGAAAAAUCCAAGGUUGGGAAGCCCUGGGACAUUGAAGUUACAACUGGACGAUAAAAACAGAGUUUUUUCCUUGUGACGUGACCACUGUGAUGUAAAGCUGUAUCUCCUUCAUUUCAUCAAGAAAUUCUUAAAAUUCUCCCCCAACGUGCUUUCAUCUUUCCCUUCAUUGCCAACUCUGAAUACUUGUCAUUGAAAUUAGGGCCCACCUGGAUAAUCCAUGAUGAUCUCAUCUCAAGAUCCUUAACUUAAUGACAUCUGCAGAGACUGGUUUAUCAAAUAAGGGACUGUGGCUAUAUCGCUGACCUCAAGAAAACCUGCGGACAAAAUCUGCUAAAGAAGUAUCAGCAUCUAUUUC